GCCAGCAAGACUGAGGGGAAUGGCUCCGACAGCUUCAUGCUCUCCAUGGACCACAGCUGGAGUGGCAAGUGGAGACCAUUCAGAACCUGGUGGACUCGUACAUGGCCAUUGUCAACAAGAACAUGCAGGACCUCAUGCCCAAGACCAUCAUCCACCUCAUGAUCAACAACACCAAGGAGUUCAUCUUCUCGGAGCUGCUGGCCAACUUGUACUCGCGUGGGGAACAGAACACGCUGAUGGGGGAGUCGGCAGAGCAGGCACAGGGGCGCAACGAGAUGCGGCGCAUGCACCACGUGCUGAGGGAGGCGCCCAGCAUCAUCGGUGACAUCAAGACGACCAUCGUCAGCACACCCACGGGGUCCUGUGGAUGACUCCUGGCUGCAGGUGCAGAGCGUCCCGGUCGGACGCAGGUCGCCCAAGUCCAGCCCCACGACGCAGUGCCGACUCCCCGCCGUGCCCCCAGCCCGGCCCGGGUUGCGGAGCCCUGCUCCUGGGCCUCUGCCUGCUGCGUCCACCCUGGGGGAAGCGCCCGUCGUACCCUCCACACCGGGGGCUUCCCCUGACCCCUUAGGCCCUCCCCCUGCAGGUGCCCUCGCGCCCCUCCCGGGGUCCCCAGGGAAACGUGCUUCCAAUCUUCCAGGAAAAAUUGAAGGCUCCGGAUGAGAAAAAGCAAACAAAGGACAGUGGGACCAUGGGCGUCCCCACCCCCACCACCCGCAGGCCCCACACUCAAACCAGCGCCCGUGCCCACGCCCAUGCAGCCGUCCUCCGCCAGGCCCCAAGAACGGCUGUUACUUUGGGGGCCGAGGCACAAGGGAGGCCCCAUUCAUCUUCCCUGGAGUCGGCAUCCCUUUGAUUGCGGGGCCACCUCUCAUCUGAACAUCUUCACCCCCCCCCAAUAUUCCUUCUGAACCCUCCAUCCUCCUUCUCCCCUUCUCUUGGGACCAUAAACCUACCCCAAGAGUGAGUCCUAGCUCCAGGGCCAGCUCCCAAUCCUGCCUCUGUCUGGUGGCAGCUGGGGCCAGGCUGAAGGUCUGUCCUAGACUGAGCCAUAAAGGCAAAAAUAAUACUUACUCCUAAUAGAAGUAAAGCACUUCACCCUAGAUGAGCCCUGGUCCUGGUCACACACAGAACCUAGACCUUUAUUUAGAGAUGGACCAUUAAUUUGUCAUGUGGGCUAGGCAUGGUGGCUCAAACCUGUAAUCCCACUUUGGGAGGCCCAAGCAGGAGGAUCACUUGAGGCCAUGAGUUCGAGACCAGCCUAGGCAACAUAACAAGACCACGUCUCUACAAAAAGAUUUAAAAAUUAACCAGGUUUGGUGGCAUGUGCCUGUAGUCCCAGCUACUGCAGUGAACCAAGAUUGUGCCACUGCACUCCAGCCUGGGCAACGGAGCAAGAUCCUGUCACAAAAAAAAAUUAUCACGUGGCCGAAGUUAUUUCCAGGCUCCGAGCGCCAGCUUCCUCAUCUUUCCAACAGAGGGCCUUCACCUGGGCUAAGUGUUAAAUCAGAAAGCCCCUAUUCAGAGGUUGGCCUGCAGUUCCCUGACCUGGUAACACUGGGGAGCAUUGGCUGCUGUCACCUGCCAGCUCCCACCCCCACCCAACACUUACACACCAAGCAUCACUAAUUUUUGCAGCUGCCAUGAUAAAUGGCACUGUUGGCAAAAUGACAUCUUUCUAAUCUGCCACAAGACAGACGGGUCCCCGAGCUCCCACAGCCUCCCAAGAGCCAGCCCAGGCCAUCCUUGUUGAGAGGAUGGGCAGAUGCAAAGCCCAGGGCCUGGGGGCGGGUGGGAUGGAGAGGAGACCUCAGGGCCCAGAAUCAAGGACAUCCCUAGUGGGGUUUACCACAGGCUCUUUUCUAAAUAUUUAGUUGUAUGUGUGCUUUUAAAAAUAUUCCAAAGAAUAUUAUAUGCUCUGUUCCUUUCUGACCAAAGUUAGGGCUUCAAUUCAAUUUUCUUUUCUUUUCUUUCUUUUUUUUAGACAGGGUCUUGCUGUAUCGCCCAAGCUGGAGUGCAGUGGCACAAUCACAGCUCACUGCAGCCUUGACCUCCUGGGCUCAAGCGAUCCCCCCACCUCAGCCACCUGAGUAGCUGGGUCUAUAGGCGCCAGCUACCAUGCCUGGCUAAUCUUUGUAUUUUAUUUUGUAGACACGGGGUCUCGCCAUGUUGUCCAGGCUGGUCUUGAACUCUUGACCUCAAAUGAUCUGCUUGCCUUGCUCUCCCAAAAUGCUGGGAUUUCAGGCUUGGGCCACUGCACCCAGCCUCAAUUUUCACUUUAAAUUAAAACCUGGAUAUUGUUCAGGUUUAUAAGGAUGAACCAUUAGACACUGGUUCUGAGGCGGUGCUCUCUUCCUGUCACCCUCUGCUCUGCGGAACAGUCUGCCUCUGCCUGAGCCAUUAGGUCUGGGGGCUUUCUCACCCCCCUCCUCCCUCCCACUCCCUCCAUGGCUCCCACCCUCCCACCCAGCCUCUUUGCUGACCUCAGCCGCAUCCCCUCCAUGCCUCACACUGGCCUGGGACUGCCAGGUUCCUGUGUCCAGGAGUAGAGGUGAAUUGGGGCUCUGGAUGCCAAGAACAGAGGAAGGACAAAUGCCAGCCCCAGAGACCCUCACCUCCUCAAGACCAACAGGAGCUGGCGCCUGUCCGCCCAGCAGCAGCAAAGCCAGAGCGGGUGCCAGCCAGGGUGGGUAGGCACAGGCCUGGGCUUGAAGAUUGAGACAGCGCUGCCCCCUCCUGGCUAAUUCACGGCUGCUCCUCUGACAGGCACUGCCAGGCUAAGCUGUUGAGGUUGGGGACAUAGUGAGUGACCCCAAAAACAGCAUGUGACAAGCUGACCUUCCCUGCAGUCUGCCCAGCUGGGAGCUGCCUCCCACUCUGCCCAUCCUGUCCGAGCUUCUCCCAAAGCAUCUUCCGGCCCUCACACCUUCAGGGCAAAGCCCGAGGCCCCUCCCGGCUGCCCACAAUGUGGCCCCGGGUAGCAGCCUCGCCCCCUGCACCCCAGGCCCCUGCUGCUCUGUGCCUCCCCAGUUCCCUGUCACUGCACCUGCAUGCUUUGCUCUCACCUUGACCUCCACCUUCGCCCUCCCCAGCAGUCUCCUCUUGUCCUCUUAGGUCCCUCCCCGAGGAAACUCCUCUCCCAACUCCCAACCAGAGGGACUCCGCUCCUCUGCCUGCACCCCGACCUGCCCUGCCCCUGUCUCGGGGACUGCACACUGUCAGCACAGUCCCACAGUUCUGGAACUUGGGAGAACCUAGACCUCUUCCAAGCCUACCCUGUGCACUGUCUAAAGGGCAAUCCUGAGCCCAGAGAGGGGCAGGAGCUGCACAAGGCCACACAGCCUGUAAUGGCAGUUAGGACUGGAAUGCAGCUCUCCCGAGUCUCUGCCUGGGGCUCCUUGGAGGACAGACACAUGGCUUCCCCACCUGGUGAACCAGAAUGGAACUCUUCAAGGACAGGGACUGUAUCAUUCCUUCCAGUGUCCCCAGCCCCUCACCCAGAGCAGGACCCACAGGAAGCAACUGUGAACAGAAAAGGAAAAAACAAAUACAUGAAAAUGUAUCUCU
rnacentral:lncRNA from 1 species